GGAGGGAUGGCAGAGCGGACGAUUGCGACGGUCUUGAAAACCGUUGAGCCUCACGGCUUCGGGGGUUCGAAUCCCCCUCCCUCCGCCA
rnacentral:tRNA from 3 species